CCCUUAGAUGUCCUGGGCCGCACGCGUGCUACACUGACGCCUACAGCGAGUACUUCCCAGCCCCGAGAGGUGGCUGGUAAUCAGCAAUAGGCGUCGUGAUGGGGAUAGAUCUUUGGAAUUAUGGAUCUUGAACGAGGAAUGCCUAGUAAGCGCAGGUCAUUAGCCUGCGUUGAUUAAGUCCCUGCCCUUUGUACACACCGCCCGUCGCUCCUACCGAUUUCGAGUGGUCCGGUGAAUCUUUCGGACUGCGCGCGGCUUCGUGCCGUGUCGCGGAAAGUCAGGUAAACCUUNUNACUUAGNGGAAGGAGAANUCGUANCA
rnacentral:rRNA from 1 species